ACCUGGUGUCAGUUCCCCUAUAAAUGGCAGCCUCCCUCUCCCUGAAUAGCGAAGACUGCUGCCAUGUUCUGCCCACCUCUGUCACACACAACGGGGUGUCACUCCAGGACUCUUCAUUUCCUAAAUGAGCCAACAUUUGGGAUCAGUCCCAUUUUUCACUGAUCCUGUAAAGUGCACCAUUUCCAAGAAGCCCUAGAGAUGUGGAAAGAUAAGAAUGUGAAUGUGUUAAAACUUCUUUUGAGAAAAAAGAAUGAGAUGCUACAAAAGGUCUGAUGUUGGUGACGCAUGAAGCCUGGCCAUAAGCUGUGACUUCCCCAGGCACCUGGAAGUAAAAGGAAGGACGUUUCAUCUGAGGGUGAAUCUAAUAAAAAUCCACACCUAAUGGAUACAAUUAAGCAACCAAGAAAUUGUCAAUGUGCGAUUAUGAAAAAUAAUCACGUUAUUUUCUUUUGUAAAAUACUUUUAUUAUUAAAAGAAAGUAUUUCUAAAAAUAAAUUACUUUGG
rnacentral:lncRNA from 1 species